GAUGAACGCUGGCGGCGUGCCUAAUACAUGCCAGUCGAGCGAACUGACGAGAAGCUUGCUUCUCUGAUGUUAGCGGCGGACGGGUGAGUAACACGUGGAUAACCUACCUAUAAGACUGGGAUAACUUCGGGAAACCGGAGCUAAUACCGGAUAAUAUUUUGAACCGCAUGAUUCAAAAGUGAAAGACGGUCUUGCUGCCACUUAUAGAUGGAUCCGCGCUGCAUUAGCUAGUUGGUAAGGUAACGGCUUACCAAGGCAACGAUGCAUAGCCGACCUGAGAGGGUGAUCGGCCACACUGGAACUGAGACACGGUCCAGACUCCUACGGGAGGCAGCAGUAGGGAAUCUUCCGCAAUGGGCGAAAGCCUGACGGAGCAACGCCGCGUGAGUGAUGAAGGUCUUCGGAUCGUAAAACUCUGUUAUUAGGGAAGAACAUAUGUGUAAGUAACUGUGCACAUCUUGACGGUACCUAAUCAGAAAGCCACGGCUAACUACGUG
rnacentral:rRNA from 1 species